rnacentral:miRNA from 1 species
GUCCAAUUUCUCUCUCUCUCUCUCUCUCUCUCUCUCUCUCUCUCUCUCUCUCUCUCUGUGUGUGUGUGUGUGUGUGUGAGAGAGAGAGAGAGAGAGAGAGAGAGAGAGACCAACCUUUUU